AUGGUCUUUAAAAUUUAAAAGAUUGUCAUGGAUACACUGAAACCAAUCAAAUACGUGUACACCACUCUUUAAUCAUGUCCAGUCAAAAAAUAUUUACAAAAGUUAAGGAGUAACCUUUUGAAAAACAGCAGUCAGUGGUAUGUGACAAUGACUGUAUAGAGCGGAAAUGCGCAAUAAUACGCACUAUUUGUUUUUCCGUUAAUUACACUGACAUUGUGCAUUCUUAAUUUAUAAUGUGAACCGUCUUUAAGGGCCUAUUUUAUCGGAAAUUAAGGGAAUAUUUGUAUGGAGGCGAGUUACCCGGCUGACCGGUUUGAAUUUUGUCACAAAAUUCUUUCCUGGACCGCAAAAUGAGAUUUCAAUCAUCUUUAAUUAAGAUGUCUUUUAUACAUAUAUUAAACAAAAUCAAUUGUUCAUUGCAAAUUCAUUUUAUGUGACUUUUAAAGAAACAAUAGGAUUAUAAACAAACGAAUCAACCCGGUUAGCCUGGUAACUUGCCUCCAUAUAAAUAGGCCCUAAGACUGUACAUAAUAUAAUUUAUCAUUUAACAUAUUAAUUAAAUUUACAAACAUUCAUUUCAACAUUCAAAGUUUGAUUUCAAAAACCAGAAUUUUUAAUUUCUGGUUCUAUAAAAUUAUACAUGCAUCUGCAUCUCUUUUGUUUAUUAUAUUUUGACAAUACCAAUAUUUGUUGCAAUACACCCCUUCGAUAAUUACGUCACAACUACACUAUUUUCAACUUAGGCCACCUUAAAUGGAAAGGAUUUCAAGUUGUUUUUUCUCAUGGGCUAUGCAUAAGUAUAGGUAAUCAUUUGAUGGCAAGUACAAUUGGACAUUUUGCCAAAAUUGGACAAGCCGCCUGGGUGAGUACUAUUAAUCCCUAAUUAUACGAGCAACAUCGGAUGAUUACUUGUUUAUUAGCAUGAAAAAAUUGGAUACUUCUCAAUGUCAACAUCAUAUUCUCUCGCCAAAACCCAGUCCUGCAAGACUUUCAACCAAAAUUUGGUGCUCAUAUUUUCAUUUAGUUCUUUUGUUAAAGCAAAAUUUGGUGCCUCUGUUCGUAUUUUCACGUAGUUCCUCUAGGGCAAUUUCAUUUCACAUUUGUGUUUAAAAUACCUUUUCACCAUUUUGUUUGUUUUGGGAAAAUCAUUAAUUGUACUGCAGUACAAUUAAUGAAAUAAUUUACUCUUCUCAACCAAUCAGCAUCCAGUAAUUUUGUAAUGCUAAU